AGAGUUUGAUCCUGGAUCAGAUUGAACGCUGGCAGCAGGCCUAACACAUGCAAGUCGAACGGUAACAGGAAGCAGCUUGCUGCUUCGCUGACGAGUGGCGGACGGGUGAGUAAUGUCUGGGAAACUGCCUGAUGGAGGGGGAUAACUACUGGAAACGGUAGCUAAUACCGCAUAACGUCGCAAGACCAAAGAGAGGGACCUUAGGGCCUCUUGCCAUCGGAUGUGCCCAGAUGGGAUUAGCUAGUAGGUGGGGUAACGGCUCACCUAGGCGACGAUCCCUAGCUGGUCUGAGAGGAUGACCAGCCACACUGGAACUGAGACACGGUCCAGACUCCUACGGGAGGCAGCAGUGGGGAAUAUUGCACAAUGGGCGCAAGCCUGAUGCAGCCAUGCCGCGUGUAUGAAGAAGGCCUUCGGGUUGUAAAGUACUUUCAGCGGGGAGGAAGGGAGUAAAGUUAAU
rnacentral:rRNA from 1 species